rnacentral:rRNA from 1 species
GAGGCUGAAAAGCGUAGUCGAUGGGAAACAGGUUAAUAUUCCUGUACUUCUGGUUACUGCGAUGGAGGGACGGAGAAGGCUAGGCCAGCUUGGCGUUGGUUGUCCAAGUUUAAGGUGGUAGGCUGAAAUCUUAGGUAAAUCCGGGGUUUCAAGGCCGAGAGCUGAUGACGAGUCGUCUUUUAGAUGACGAAGUGGUUGAUGCCAUGCUUCCAAGAAAAGCUUCUAAGCUUCAGGUAACCAGGAACCGUACCCCAA